rnacentral:rRNA from 1 species
AUAUCAAUAAGCGGAGGAAAAGAAACCAACAGGGAUUGCCUCAGUAACGGCGAGUGAAGCGGCAACAGCUCAAAUUUGAAAUCUGGCUCUUACGGAGUCCGAGUUGUAAUUUGUAGAGGAUGCUUCGGGCAAGGUUGCGGUUUAAGUCCCUUGGAACAGGGUGUCAGAGAGGGUGAGAAUCCCGUCUUUAACCGUCUAUCGCGCUCAUGUGAAGCUCCUUCGACGAGUCGGGUUGUUUGGGAAUGCAGCUCAAAAUGGGUGGUAAAUUUCAUCUAAAGCUAAAUACCGGCCAGAGACCGAUAGCGCACAAGUAGAGUGAUCGAAAGAUGAAAAGCACUUUGAAAAGAGAGUUAAACAGCAUGUGAAAUUGUUGAAAGGGAAGCGCUUGCAACCAGACUUGCAGGCAGCAGUUCAGCCGUUAUUCUUAACGGUGCAUUCUGCUGUUUCAGGCCAGCAUCGGUUUGGGUAGUUAGUUAAAGGCUUGAGGAAUGUAUCUGUCUUCCGGGGCAGACUUAUAGCCUUAGGUGGCAUCUAGCUUACCUGGACCGAGGAACGCGCUUCGGCACGGAUGCUGGCGUAAUGGUUGUAAGCGGCCCGUCUUGAAACACGGACCAAGGAGUCUAACAUCUAUGCGAGUGUUUGGGUGUUAAACCCCUACGCGUAAUGAAAGUGAACGGAGGUAGGAGCCCUUGGGCGCACUAUCGACCGAUCCUGAUGUCUUCGGAUGGAUUUGAGUAAGAGCAUAGCUGUUGGGACCCGAAAGAUGGUGAACUAUGCCUGAAUAGGGUGAAGCCAGAGGAAACUCUGGUGGAGGCUCGCAGCGGUUCUGACGUGCAAAUCGAUCGUCAAAUUUGGGUAUAGGGGCGAAAGGUUAGUUAAACUUUAACGAAUCAAUCGAAAUUUAUGCUAAUAUUUACUUUACAGACUAAUCGAACCAUUUAACGAGUAACCACCAGGUGGUUCACAAAUGGGUAAAAUCCCAUCAGCCUAAUUUAGGUAACACCCUUAGUAUGUGUAGGGACUUAAUAAUUAAAGACCUACAGCAGUCGUGGUCAAGACCUAGGCUGUCUACAGACUAAAGAAGGGUGGUCGGUUAGUUAAAGCUUUAACCGAAGAAAACAUAGUCGAGGAGAAUCUACUAGGUAAAGACCUAGUUAAAAGAUUCGUUUUGCUGGUAGCUGGUUCCUGC